rnacentral:tmRNA from 1 species
UGGGGACUUCUGUUGACGGGCGUCCCCUGACCCCUUGUGCUGACUGCGAAUAGCUCAAACGCUAUCUACGGCAGCACGCGCUUAAUCGUUAGCUCUGUUUGGAACUAACGCGUCAGCGUGUGUAAACUCGUUGCGUUGGCUUACAUUUUUCCUAUUAACGCAUAGGCUUCGGACAAGCGUGGGAAUCUUUACACCGCUGUCUACUUUCUUUAUCACCCCCAUUUUGUUGUGGAGGUGCCGGGAGUUUAACCCGGAUCCAGCAGAUUAUUGCAUUGCCACUUGUUUAUUGUCAUAGCUAAGUUAGC